UCAUAUCGCCACCUGUCGGCCUUUAAACUAUUAGUUACACUGAUAUCCUAGGUCGGUUUUUAGUAGAUUGGUAGAUAUAUAUGUUCCUAGCAGAGGCAACAAAGAUACUGUUAACUAAGUGGCAACCUCAGGUGUUUGGAACGCCAGAGAACCUUUGGAGCUCAUAUAAAUCUUGUGCACGGAAGGCAGGGCACUUCCUGUUUUUUCCUCCGUUUGUUCCUUGCUUGCCAAAGAUCUUUCUAGAUUAAGUAAUAAGGGAAACGGGCACCCACCCAACCAGGAGGUCUGCACGUAUGGUAAUUUCCAUAUGAAUACCCGGAACAUCGAAACCAAAUGGUUUUGUAGUUUAACGAUGGACUCGACACGUUAAAUGUGAAUCGUGAGACACAUCAAGGGGGUGUACUGCCAACUAACCCCACGCUAGCAAGGAUAACUAGUUACCUAACUAUCUACAAUCAACUACGACUUGCUGUUGUGAAUGGUGUGCCCUAGCUAACGUUAGCGUGCCAGACAAUCAAAAAGAGGACUGUUCUCUGAAAAUUCUUUCCUUGACCACGAAAGGGCAUGCGGCGAGAGCUGCGGCCGCUCUAGAAUGAGGAAGAGUCCGGCAAACCGUUGCAGGGACAUCGAGAGGCAAGCCGGCUACCUGCAGCCCGAGCACUGCGCCCCUCCCCCAACCCUCCCCCACUCCGACACCAUGUGGUUCAUCCGCGACUGCUGCGGCAUCGUAUGCGGCGUCAUCACCUGGUGCCUGGUGUUCUAUGCCGAGUUCGUGGUGCUCUUCGUCGUGCUGCUGCCUGCCAAGAACCUGCUCUAUAGUCUAAUCAACGGUGCACUGUUCAGUGUCCUCGCCUUCCUCGCCCUGGCCUCACACACCCGGGCCAUGUGCACAGACCCGGGUGCGGUGCCUAAAGGGAACGCGACCAAGGAGUUUAUCGAGAGCCUGCAGCUCAAGCCCGGUCAGGUGGUCUACAAAUGUCCCAAGUGUUGCAGUAUCAAGCCCGACAGAGCUCACCACUGCAGGUUCUGUACAGGACUGGUCUAGAGAGCCCUGUCCUUAUUCCACUUGUUUUCUUCAAAUGUUCUUUCCCACCAAUGUUGUCAGCCUGCAUUACCUAUACCUACUGGUACUUACUAGAUGGCUAAGAAGGAGUUCCCCGGACUUUGAAGUGCUUUGAACCUAGUUUCAAGGGACGGAACUGGCUAAAAACAAAGUUGAAAAAGGAGCAACACUUGUGUGUGUAAACGCUGUAUCAAGAAGAUGGACCACCAUUGCCCAUGGGUAAACAACUGCGUAGGAGAGAAGAACCAGAAAUUCUUUGUGCUUUUCACAAUGUACAUUGCACUGAUAUCCCUCCAUGCCCUGGUCAUGGUUGCCUUUCAUUUUAUCUUCUGCUUUGAGUCGGACUGGACGAAGUGCAGUACAUUCUCUCCUCCAGCGACCGUCAUCCUCCUCAUCCUCCUCUGCUUUGAGGGACUCCUCUUCCUCAUUUUUACCUCAGUGAUGUUUGGGACCCAGGUCCAUUCCAUCUGUGCCGAUGAGACAGGCAUAGAGCAGUUGAAAAAGGAGGAGAGGAGAUGGGCUAAAAGGACAAAGUGGAUGAACAUGAGGGUGGUAUUUGGCCAUCCGUUCUCUAUAGCCUGGCUAAGUCCCUUUGCAACACCUGACCACGGGAAGGCAGACUAUUACCAGUACGUUGUCUGAGACGGGAAGCCAUGCUCCAGCACCCGUGCUACCAGCUUGUCUUUCAGGGUGCGGACUGAUGACGCGUACGGGGCGAUAGUCUUCCCACCGCCUGGCUUCACUGAGCACGAACUCUUAUGACCCUUUCUCUUCUUUUCUGUUUUUGGUCAUUUUUCUUCUUUGUGAAAUGUUUUUUUUCUGCUUGUUUUGAAUACCUGCCACACUUUUGGAUAUCUGUAAUAUCUAUUUCCCUUCUGUUUACGAUCACUGCCAAGCCCUACAAAACCAUGAACUGUAAAAAUGCCCCUCUGCUUUUCUCACGUCUUACCAUUGAAGAAAGCACUUACUGAUGUAACCUGGCCAGAGCCUGUAUCUGAGCUGGCUAAAAACUGGGCUUUGCCUUUGGGAUAGAAACGGAAAUGGAAAUGCUCUUAAACCCAAGUAUUUCCUGUAUUUUGUCAUUUCCUGUUUAAGGACUAGGCCUAAACAAAGCAAACGCAUGAGCUGAAUUCAUAUUGUUUUCGUCCGCUGAAAAGCCAAUCAGUUCCGAAAGGCAGAUUUUGUCUUCCAAUGUAGCCGUACCUCUGCCUUUCCAUAAUGUAGCCUAAAUGGUGUAAGCUAUAGCUUUGGUGCCAGCGCCACACUGUUGGGAGUACUAACGGCCCACAAGGCAUUACGUUUGCGGUUUAGAACAGCCAAAUCUUUUCCUGCAAGCUGCAGAUUCUUUGCCUUAUAAGACAAUUGCAAUUGGGUAAAGAGAUUUUUGUAACCUUAAGUUUAAGUUGAAUAGGGUAUUUGCUUCCUGUCACUGGCUAUCAGUCAUGUCUAUGUGCAGGACGGGUCCCCUCCAAAAGGACAGGCUGAAGAUGAGAUUGGGAACAACAAUGGAUUGAAAGUCCAACCGUGGAACCGGCUGGUGGCCGUGGAUGGUUCUGUUGUUUCACUGUGUGGCAUGAUGUCUUACUGUUUGGUGUAUGUGACAACCGUUUCUAUAGAAAAAUGAUCACGAUGCCUUCUGAGAUUUUUAAAUUGGUCACCCAAUAACUAGAAAACUGGUCAAUGAAAUGUACAUAUUUUUUUAACAGAAGCAUGCACUUAAGUGUAAUUCCCUGUGUUCACUGAAUGGAAUUUUUAAAUGUCAUGUCAAAAAAACAGGUUAUCGGCUUGACAUUCUGUUUAUGAAUCUGGCACAGUUAAGCUUUGUGGAGCAAACAUUGGUGAUGCAAUUUAGGCCAGUGGAACAUGUGCAUUGAAGACUGAAAGACCAUACCGCCUGGAAGGAGACUUUUUUUUAAAAGUCACUAUUGUGUACAAUGCUAGCUAAUUCAAACUUAGACACAGACCGGUCUCCUAGAUACAUAGCAGUCGAAGUAGAUUGCCUCGGGGCAAUUAGGCAUCGAUUGCAAACAAUCAAGAGAAAAUUAUAACAAUCAAUUGUGUUCACGAGCCUUACUGUAGAAAGAACAUGGGCUGUUGGUGACGAAUAGAACGGCUAUGGGUUGUGUCCCAAAUGGCACUCUGUUCCCUAAUAUAGUGCACUACUUUUGACCAGGCCCACAGGGCUGUAGUCAAAAGUAAUGUACUGUGUAGGGAAUAGCGUGCCAUUUGAGACACAGCUUAAUUUAUGUGGAAUAUAUUUGCUGACAUAUUCUCUGGUUUUACGACCCACACUGUAUGAACACAAUGGUUAUGUAUUCAUCAAACUAAAUUGUUUGCUAAUUAAAUUUAGAAUACAGAGUGCAUUGGCAAGGCAUGGAUGCCAUUUGAAGUGUGUAUGGACCACGUUUGGAGAUUUGUGCUAUAUUAUAAAGAAUCAAUUAAGAUUGAAUGUAAUGCUACUUUUAGUGACUUGUAUUGUGAAAGUCAACUUUUCUAAGUAGUUUCUUUUUUACCGAAUGGGUGACUUUUUAAAGUUUAAGAUGCUUCAAUCAAAUCUACUACUGUCUCUUUCUGAUUUGAUGCCCAUUUGUUCUUUUAAAGUGGUACACUCUAAACUACAUCUCAAUACUGCCAUCUCCUGCUUGAACUGAUGAACCCUUAUUAUCUCUAUGUAGUGAAUAUCAAAUACUGUGGUUUUUAAAAGUUGACUAUCUUAUCAGAAUGAAUGCUUCUCCAACCAGACUGAUUUAUUUUAUAUUUAAAAUGUGCUUUUUCAGCUCAUUCCAGUUUGCCUUUCCAACUAAUUAUCAGCUGAUCAUGUACAAUAUCAGUAUGCAUCACAGGCAUGUAUUAAUAAUUUGUAGAUCUGUGUACUGGAGUGGGAAGUUCUUGAAUCUGAUUCAUGUCCGUCUGUGCCAGAGUCUCUUUGAGGAGGGCCGGGUGUAAUAAGGGUAUACGAGGUUCCUUAGGAAGAGGCUGGUUUAUAAAGCUCAUGUUACCCUAGCCCCUUUCACACAGAUGCACAAAGUAAACCGCAUGGUGGGUCAAUUUCUGCAACUAAGCUCGUUGGAAGAGCGAGGCUAAACUCCAUACUGCUGCGAACCCAUGCACAGGUACUGUGUGAGAGUGAAGUUUUGCAUCUCACUCAUCUCAAUAUCUGUGGUGCUGCUUGUGGCAAUGUCAAUUUGCUCAGUCUACCUUUUUAAUUACUAUCAAUCAGAUCAGAAGCGCUAAGACUGCGUCCUACUCAUUAACACAGGAUAUGCUGGGAAGUUGUCAAAUCUAUCCUAUUCUGACAAAGGGACUGGUAUUCUCUCAUGUCUCUAUUUAUACACUUUUUAAACACACACACUUGCUGUAAAUAGAUGAUUCCCAAUGUGCAUCUCUUUGAAAUGUUUAUCUGAAUGCAAAAGUUGAAGUUACUUUCAUAUGGAAAUUAUUUACAAUAAAUGUAUUGUUUUUUCAAAAAUG